UACGUAGGGCGCAAGCGUUUGUCCGGAAUUAUUGGGCGUAAAGAGCUCGUAGGCGGUGUGUCGCGUCGGCCGUGAAAACCUGCAGCUUAACUGUGGGCUUGCGGUCGAUACGGGCAUCACUGGAGUUCGGCAGGGGAGACUGGAAUUCCUGGUGUAGCGGUGAAAUGCGCAGAUAUCAGGAGGAACACCGGUGGCGAAGGCGGGUCUCUGGGCCGAUACUGACGCUGAGGAGCGAAAGCGUGGGGGAGCGAACAGG
rnacentral:rRNA from 1 species